rnacentral:rRNA from 1 species
CCUACGGGAGGCAGCAGUGAGGAAUAUUGGACAAUGGACGAAAGUCUGAUCCAGCUAUGCCGCGUGCAGGAUGACGGCCCUAUGGGUUGUAAACUGCUUUUAUACAGGAAGAAAAACUCCGACGUGUCGGAACUUGACGGUACUGUAAGAAUAAGGAUCGGCUAACUCCGUGCCAGCAGCCGCGGUAAUACGGAGGAUCCAAGCGUUAUCCGGAAUCAUUGGGUUUAAAGGGUCCGUAGGCGGUUUUUUAAGUCAGAGGUGAAAUCCUGCAGCUCAACUGUAGAAUUGCCUUUGAUACUGAAAGACUUGAGUUAUUGUGAAGUGGUUAGAAUGUGUGGUGUAGCGGUGAAAUGCAUAGAUAUCACACAGAAUACCAAUUGCGAAGGCAGAUCACUAACAAUAUACUGACGCUCAGGGACGAAAGCGUGGGUAGCGAACAGGAUUAGAUACCCUGGUAGUCCACGCCGUAAACGAUGGAUACUAGCUGUAUGUCUACUUCAGGUAGAUGUGUGGCUAAGCGAAAGUGAUAAGUAUCCCACCUGGGGAGUACGAUCGCAAGAUUGAAACUCAAAGGAAUGAC